CAGGGUCACACAGCAGCAGAAUGGGCAAGACAGCAUGCCUUCAAUUCCAGCCCAGGGAAUACCAAAAAAGGAGCUGAAACUGAGUUCCACACUUCACAUUUUCUGCAUCAACAGCUGCUGAGAACAGCUCCAAGGUAAAAAAGCACUGAUGUUAGCUGCAAUUAAUCUCAUGUGUCCUCCCAGAGUAAGCUGUCUCUGUUUCAGGUAAUACUGAACUGACUCUACAGAAGAAAAUCAACUGCCUUUAAACCAGGUUGGAAAAGUAUCAUCAACAGCAAGUUGUAAAAAUUUUCCCUGUAGAAAACAAAGACAAUCAAACUGGCUUCUACUGCACUUUAACCUUAAUCAAAUGAGAUUGUAUCUCAAUGACAAUAAGACAUCCAACUUUGGCA